UUUUAUAUAGUAUAUACUUAUAUUACGUUCAACUUCGACUUGAAAAAAAAUAAAUUAUUAUUUAUAUUAA
rnacentral:tRNA from 1 species